rnacentral:lncRNA from 1 species
UUUGUUUGCUUUAUUGUUAUAAUAGUCUUUAUUUUUGUUUUUAUACAUCACAUGUCUUGUAUUACUUUAAACUCCAUUAAGGUAGAUAAGGUGUCUUCCUCCAUCUUGGAUUUUGAAAUACUAGAAAACAAGGUCUAGAUCUUUGAUGAAAUGUGGAAAUUUUUAUAGUAGUAGGUAAUUUAUUUGUAAGAAUUUUCAUUAUAAUAUAGAAAAU